GGUAUAGCUCAAUGGUAGAGCACAUGUUUAGCAUAUGCACCACCCUGGGUUCAAUUCCCAGUACC
rnacentral:tRNA from 1 species